rnacentral:lncRNA from 1 species
AUGGAUGCAAGUGGCGUAUAAAUGCUACUUGUUAUUAUUUUUAUUAUUAACAAUAACAAUAGCUAACAUUGAUAGAGCUUGUUAUAUACUCGGCAGCCUGCUGAGCCAUUUAUAAUUAUUAUUUCAUUUGAUUCCCACAAUAGCCUACCUGGGAGGCAGAUGCCCAUUUUAUAGAUGAAGAAACUGGGGCAGCUAUGUGGGACAGCCUUAGCGUCUGAGGACUAGUUAUCAGUCAAGGGAAGCGUUUUACCUAGAGUCGCACAACUAGUAAAUGUCUGAGAUUUGAACUCGGGUCUCCCUAAUUCCAGGUCCAGACCUCUGUCCAUCGUGCUAUCCAGCUGGGCACCUGCUAUGGGCCAGGAGCUGUCCUGAGCAAUGGGCUCCCCCAAACAAACACGAGACUGUCCCUGACCUCGAGGAGCUUCCCGGCUGUCUCAGGGAAAUGGGUGCCCCAUUAAGAGUUCAUCCUCAGUGAUGGAGUCACAGAGAAUAAGUGAUGCCGUUUGAAGAGGCGGAGUGUGGGGCGGCGCAUAGAUGCACCCCAGAAACUGCGGGGCGUGAGCCUCCGCACAGGAAUGAGCUAGAGUGGAAGAAAUUGGCAAGAGUCCAUUAUCUACCAAGAACCCCCCCAUGGAUUCAUGAAGGAUCAUCACAGCUGAAGAGUCACAACUGAAAAUGACUAAACAAUGAUAACAACAAAAUUUCAAAUGAUAUACCAUGUGAUAUAAAAUAACAGAAAGAUAGGGAGAUAGACGUUAAUUCAUUUGGCUGUUAAUUCUAUGUUAUGUCAUAUUUUAAUAGAUUAUGGAACUCUGAAAUCCCAGAAGUACCUUGAUAACAUUAAGUAAAUGGAUCAAACUUUUCUGUCUCACAAUGAUUGAUUGAAAGAACUAAGUCUAUUUAUCUUGAGAAGGGGAAUAUUUCUAAGGCUAUGGGAAUGACUAGAUGUCUUCCAUUUGGCUUCAGGAAUAAGGUGCAAGCAGCAAAGCCCCCAAAUUAGGCUGGAUGUCAG